AAGACCAUAGCAUAUUGUUUUGCAAUUUGCUUUUUUCCCCUUAACAAUAUGUUUUGGAGAUGUUCUGUGUAGGUAAAUACAGAUCUGCUUCAUUCUCCUUCACUGUUGUGAAAUAUUGCAUAGCCUAGAUGAAAUAUUGUAUGUUGCAUGUUGUUUCCCGUGUCUAGGAACACCCUGGCACAUGCCAUUUUGAGCACAUGUACAAGGAUUUCACUCAGAUACCUAGCAAUGGAAUUGCUGGGCGAAGGAGCACAUGCAUUUAACAUUUUAAUAGCUGCUCCCAAUCGCCCUCCCAAAAGGCAGUAUCUAUGUACAUUCUGGGUAUGAAAGCCCCUGCUUUCUCUAUACCCUUAUUUGUUUUUAUUGAGCUCUUUUAUUUUUUACCAAUCUGUUGGUCAAAAAAACAUGAUUUCAUUGUUAAAAUAAAAACUUCAGUUCAAUCUUCCUGGCCAGGAAACUGUGAGCGAUUCACAUUAGUAACAUAAUAACAUGUACAGUAAUAACACUAUUUAACCACUGUGUGCUUUGUUACUAUUUUACAGGGAGUGAGUAACUAAGCCGGUCUCUACCCUUUUGCAGGGGAAUCUCGUUAUGUAUCAGUUUUCUCCACACACUUCACUGUACCUUUUAGAUGUAAAACGCCAGCGUCUGGGGUCUUGCAGGGCCUCUGGGGAAUGCCCCACCCAGUCCCCCAUCCUCUCUUCUCUGGAAUGGCUCCAAAGAGUUCUUUGGCCACAGCCUGCCCUUCCUUCACGUCCGUUCCUGCCACACAGUUCAUGCCCUGGAAUGAUGAUGCCAAUUGUCUGGUCUGACACAGCAGUGCAUUCUCUGCUCCCGGCCUCUGGGUUUCUCCUUUGAUCAGCGUGGGACACGUCAGCAGAAGUCGUUGGUUUUGUCCCUUGCUUGACUUAGAUGAUGCCAGGCUUAUCUUCUGGUACAUCAGAAGCUGAACCACCAGCUGGAUCCUGCCUUAAUCUUUUCCAAGCUCACACGUCAUCUAGUACAAUGUUUUCCACAGAGGAGUCCCUUUUAUUUAUUUUUUAUUUGUUUUGGCCACACUGUGCAGCAUGCGGGAUCUUAGUUCUCUGAGCAGUGAUGGAACCCUGCGCCCCCUGCAGUGGAAGCGUGGAGUCUUAACCACUGGACCGCCAGGGAAGUGCCGGGGAGUCCCUUUUGUUUGUUUGUUUUUGUUCGUUUGUUUUUUUGCGGUACGCGGGCCUCUCAUUGUUGUAGCCUCUCCCGUUGUGGAGCACAGGCUCCGGACGCGCAGGCUCAGCGGCCAUGGCUCACGGGCCCAGCCGCUCCGCGGCACGUGGGAUCUUCCCGGAGCAGGGCACGAACCCGCGUCCCCUGCAUCGGCAGGCGGACUCUCAACCACUGCGCCACCAGGGAAGCCCGGAGAGUCCCUUUGAAAAGGAAAAGCUUUAAGAGCAUUUAAAUUUUUACACCAUUUAAUUUCAUGACUCUUUCUCUUCCCCAUCUCCACCUCGAUGUCUUGGGUUCCUUGUUCUAUUUUUCUCAUCCUCUGUACUCAGGAAGACACCAAAAUGGUGGCUGUGAAAGGAUUUUUCUCCCUGAAAGUUUCCUCUGGACACUGUUCUCUGUUACUAACAAGGCACACCUUAGAACCACUUAGUGCCUUAAUAUUAAUCUCUGGGGAUUGAACUGGACUCACCACUCAGUACGGCUGUAUUUAAUAGUGGCUUCCUUCCGAGGCUUACAUUUUUAGAGAGGUCAUAGGAUUUUAAGGCAGGGUGACUUGUUCUGAUGGUUUCAGGUUAAUUUCCUAUUUGUAUCAGAUUAAUUUCCUAUUUGUAUCAGAAAACCAUUUGCUUGCUGGUUUGACUAUCUCCUUUCCUAAAGUCAAUUGAGACCGAAUUUGGUUUUUACCCCUUUAUCCAGUCCAGCUACCACAGAACCUUUGUUUUGCCAGUGCAGUAAUAUUAUUCUCUCGUUUCUAAAGUGCUCUAGUUCAGGCUAUGAGUUCUGCCAACAGGACAGUGCAAGGCAAUCGAUAUAGUUAGCAAAGAACCAUAUUUUCUUCAGGAUAACUUCUUCUUUUGGAUAUUUUGGUCACUUUGCCUUGGACUUUGUUUUUCUUUCAUAUUUUCUAGUAUAUGCUGGGAAACAUAAGUGGAUGGUUUAAUAGUUUUGCGUGUGGGUUCUUGAACCAGGUGGCCUGGGUUCAAAUCCCAGCUCUGCGACUUCCUAGCCGUGUGACCUUGGGCAAGUUACUUAAGCUCUCUGUGUCUCAGUUUUCAUGUCAGUGGUUGUUAAAGAAAUGCAAGUAUCAUUCAGUCAAAAAAAUAUUCCUUCCUUCCUUCCUCCUCCCUCCCUCCCUCCCUCCCUCCCUCCCUUCCUCCCUUCCUUCCUUCCUUCCUUCCUUCAUUCCUUCCUUCCUUCCUUCCUUCCUUCCUUUGUCAGUCAUCUAUUCAAGCCACAAACUUUUCCAGAGUGCCUGGGACAAUGUGCUAGGCUCUAUAAACAGGGAUACAAAGACAAAUAAUCCAUGGUCUCGGCCCUUAGGAAAUUCUAAUGAGGGAUGUGCUUGUUACUUAUGGUGAGGAUAGAUCACCUGGAAGAGGAAAGCAUGAAUAAGAAAAUUGACCAAUUUGAAGUUGAAGAUCCAGACUCAUUCUUUCAUCAAUCUCCAAGUUACUUUCUCCCGAGAAAGAGUAAUUUCUUGGGCUGAUGUUCAACUUGAGCAAACACCUGAAAGGAACAGCCUGUGGAAGCUACUGAUAGUAACUCUGUUCUCCACAAACUGGUUUCCAUGUUGUUGCCAGACAGGAUUCUGGCAUUGGCCAGGGAAUCCCGUGCUCAGGUAGGCUUCCCUUCCUCAGGGGACCCCCUACUCUGAGAUGGUGGUGACCCUUGCGUUGGAGAUCUACCACAUAGGCUUCAGGAACUCUUAGUGGAAUUCAAUCCACUGGUUAGAGCUCCUGCCGCAUGGCAUCCGGGUCAGUUGUGGUACAGAGAAAAGAUGCAGAGUGGACAGUAACACACCCUCCUUUCUACACGUUCCUCACUUGACAACAUCUUGUUCCUCAGUAUUGAAUUGCACCUUAUCUCUUUUCUUCUGCCACCGCCAAACCCUUGAGGCCAGGGACUGGGUCUGCUGUACUGAUGAACCUGAGAUGGCAUUGUCCCCUUUCUAUGAGGGUCACUGGACUUUCACAGAAGGAUGUCUUUCAGCUGAUGCCAGCUCCCUUCUUAAGAUCCUGUUAUCUCUCCUACAGGCAGAGCUUCCUAGUGAUGGGUGGGCUGGACUGAGAUGCGGUGGGGCGUAAACGUGGGGCUCCUCGUUUUUUUUAUAUAUUAGGCAUUUGAGAAACGUUAAUUGGUUGGGUGAUUUGAUGUGCGACUGGUAACAACCCUUGUCCUUGUUGUUAGAAUGCACCACAGCCAUCAGCCCUGGAAUGCAAAGACCAGAAUAAACUUGAGGAAGCCACCAGCCAAGCCCGGGCAGAGUCAGUCUCCACCCCAAACACAGAGCUGUAGCCGCGGCCAGGAAGAAAUCCGCCCCCUCUGAAGGCUGUUUUUGUGACUGUUCUUGGGAGCAUUGUUCUAAAAAUGGGAAAUUACAUAUCACUGUGCCAAAGGAAACAAACACCUGCAAUUAAAGGAAUACCUUCCACGAGGUGGCUUUUAGAGUCCCGGUCGGCUCUGGACGAAGGGCUGCUGCACCAGUUCUUUUUGGUGCGUUUCUUCACUUCUAAGGGAAUCGGGUUUGUAACCAGAGUGGGCUUUGGCAACGAUGGGGCUCGGGUUGUGGUCCUUCACUUAUUCACUCAGUAAACAUCUAUCAAGCAUC